rnacentral:snRNA from 1 species
GUGUUCACUUCGGAGCACAUAGACUAAAAUUGGAGCAAAUACGGAGAUUAGCAUGGCCCCUGCGCAAGGAUAACAUGCAAAUUCAUGGAAUACUCAGAAAACAU